rnacentral:rRNA from 1 species
UUGAACGCUGGCGGCGUGCUUUACACAUGCAAGUCGAGCGGCAGCAUGGGGGCAACCCUGAUGGCGAGCGGCGAACGGGUGAGUAAUACAUCGGAACGUGCCUAAUAGUGGGGGAUAGCCUAUCGAAAGAUGGAUUAAUACCGCAUAAUCUCUGAGGAGGAAAGCUGGGGACCGCAAGGCCUGGCGCUAAAUGAGCGGCCGAUGGCCGAUUAGCUUGUUGGUGGGGUAAAGGCCUACCAAGGCUAUGGUCGGUAGCGGUUCUGAGAGGAAGAUCAGCCACACUGGGACUGAGACACGUCCCAGACUCCUACGGGAGGCAGCAGUGGGGAAUUUUGGACAAUGGGGGCAACCCUGAUCCAGCAACGCCGCGUGAAUGAAGAAGGCCUUAGGGUUGUAAAGUUCUGUUGUCUGGGAGCAAAACGAUUAUGCUAAUACCAUAAUUGGAUGAGAGUACCAGAAGAAUGAGCACCGGCUAACUACGU